rnacentral:lncRNA from 1 species
GGCAACGUUGUUGGGUCCUACGCGUGGUGUGGAGAUAUGCCAUUUCACAAGAAUGUGGAUUCCUUUGGAGAGCUGUGGAAGAGUAUGGCAAAGUGGCAUUGUUGAUUUCCAGACAGAGCUUGGAAAAUACCGGAAAACACAACUGAGAACCUUUUCUUCUUGCAAGGAUGACAUACGGGUCUGUGCAUUCCACCACUUUGAAUGGUGUACUUACUAUAUUCAGAGUUUUCCCAGUGUCAUGAUUUAGUCAACUAUUUAGUAUAAAACCUAACUGAUCAGUUGGAAUUGCUGCUAACAAAAUCAGAUACCUAGAAGCUGAACUGUCAGCCAGCAAGAUGAGAAGGAGACAGCCUCCAAGCGUUGUAGAAAGACCUUGUGUAGCUACAAAGCCACCUGUGCAUGCUACAGGAUCAGAUAAAUGUUUUUCCCAACAGAAGCAUUAGAAACAGUUUAUAUUCAAGCAAGAAAGCAGCCUCUGGACAGGAAAAUGCAGGUGGGGUGUCCUACAUCCAGUCCAGACCAAACUGCAUCCAGUUCAGCUCCCUGCACCCGAUACACUCCUCCUGUACGUGCCGGCAGGACUUCAGCUCACCCGUGUCCCGCUGCUGCCCCGUCCCAAUGGCCUGGCUCACACACCACACCCUUGGCAUCACGAUGUCACAGGAACUAAGGGAAGAGGGCACACUUGAGGGACGCGUGGAGACCAAGGCCUUGUGUUUCAUUUCAAGAGACCUAAGAGUCACAGCUUUGCUGCUCCGAUACUCUCUUGGCAGCAGUGUAAGGAUUGAGCAAUACUGCUUUACAUUUUUAAAACGAGAGGCCAUGUGA